CGCUGUACACCACGUCGCACAGCACCACCCACGUGCCUACAUCGCGCGGACGGAUCGACUAGAUUCUGUUCGCGCCAUGUCGUCCGAAGACUACGAAGAGAGUGGCGUCGCCUCUGAUCGUGAGCGCGAUGCGAACGAUGAUGUUGAGGGGGAAGACAGCGAAUCAGCGUCCGACUCCGCGGAGGAGCUGAAGCCGCGUUCCUUACACCCCUCCGACAAGGAAGCGGUGGAAGAGGAAGAAGAGGAGGACUACGACGCACUCGACGACGCACCCGCGCCAAAACCGCUCCCAAAGACGAUCAGCCUAAUGCUACCUCGGAAAGCGUCAGCGGGGGCGGCGUGCGAACCAACGCGCGUGUACGUGUGCCUGACACGUGGCAUGAUUGGUCGAUCUCUGGAACGCGAUGCCCACAGCGAGGACAGCGACAGCGAUGGGGAAGACGAGGAGGCCGCUGCCUCGUCAACCGCUCCACUGGCAGCGGCAGCAGGGAGAGUUGGCGCCGACGAUGAAGCAGGAGAGGAUGAAGUGAGCAGUGCCGCCGCGACAUUGCAGGGCUGCUGCGCAGACCAUCACCACUACGAGACCGACUACGCGGCGCCCCUGGCGGCAUUGCGGCGUCGCCUCAUCCUUCGGCACCUUCACGGUAACCAAAAAUGUCAGCAGCGCUUCCUGUUGUCCGAACGCGCGCGCGAGAAGCGGGCAGCUCAGUCACCCCACGGCGACGCAGCAGUUGGGGAAGAAGGGAGCGACGGCAGUGGGGAGGCAGAAAACAGCAGCACCAACCCACUCGAAACGAUGGUGUGGCCGUGGACGGCUGUGCAGAAACCUCCGCCGUACUGGCUUCCAGCUCUUCUAUCCAACGACAUUCACACAUUUCAGCGCAUUCUUCAAAUCAUGUACGGCUGGAUCAUUGCCCCAGACCCGCACCCAUCCGACCAGCUGCAGCUCGACGCGGCUGGGCAACUUUGCACCGCCACACCAGGUACCAAGAAAGAAAGGGAUGACGAGGACGCCGAGGACUCCGAGAAGGCAGACUUUUUCCUCGCCUCCGGCGCCUUUCCUGGCGCUGGCAGUCAGGAGACGAGCACCGACAGCGCGAAUCGGGAGAGCCCGGCACCCGCGCGGUGCACGUCGAAGAGCUUGCUCGGCGCCUUCAACGAGUGUGAGGUCGACGAAGAGCAGCGCCACUCGGACGAGGAGUCGCCGAACCAGCAGCCCGACCUGGAAUCACAGGAUAGCCCCAGCUGCUCACGCGCGAUGCAGAGCAUUUCCACAGCCCCACCACCUGUCGCCGCACUGCCGUAUUUCCCGUUCGCCGAGUACGAGUUUUACAUCGUGUUCGACGAGGCUAGUGAGGAAUGGCACCUUCUGGACACGCACCCGCUCUUCGUGAUGGAGGCCUGUCGACGCCGACGAGCAGAGCAGAUGAGUCACGAAGGGGACCAGCCGGAGGCCGAGACGAGGGACGGCGCUGACCUCGGAAGUGACGAGGAGACCGCGAGCGAGGCAGAGAGCGAAGGAGAGGAAGAGAACGAGGAAACGGUGAAGGGCAGCUGUCAUGUCCCACGGUACGCACUGGACACUAUAGUCCCUGUAAGCCCCGUCAUUCUGGCGGCGCUCUUCUCCCCCGCUGCGUUGCGGUGUUGUCUCCUGCAGCCUCUUCAGGCAGAGCCGCGCAAUGAGGAAGACUCUGAUGAGGCGGAGGGCCACGACGCGGACAGCGGCGCGGCCGCUGCAGCGUCUCUGCGAAGUGUCUCCCCUCACGCUGUGCUGCGAACCUUUGACCACGCCUGGCUGUCUGUGGACAUGUCAGUUGCUCUCCCCAUUUUGGCGACCAUCUGCCGCGCCCGGCAACGUGUCCUGCAGCAGGAUGCACUGCGAAUUCCCUACGCACUCGGCAAUUUGUGGAUCGAUGUGAACCCCCUCUACGCGCUGUCCGCCUUCGCCGACGUCGUCAAUGCUGCCGGGGUCGAUGAGGUGCGUCUGUGGAGAGCGCCGCCGGGGCAGCACCCGGAAGACGACGACGACGACGGGGACAGCGAUAGUGGCGAGGUUUCGGCAGAAGGAAGCACGAUGAGGGCGGCAGAGCUGUGCUCCCCACACCGGUGGGGCACCGCCCUGGACAGCAUCGCUGACCCCGGCCAUUACGGCCGCCUGGUGUUGAACGCUCUGUUAGAUGCCGGCCUGCUCCCUACGCGGCCGGUAGAGCUGGCGAUCUUUCAUCACCUCAGUCUCUUGCGCCUGGCGCUGUGGUGGUGGAUGCGGUUGCCCCCGAAGCUGAUUCAGAAGUGGGGUGUCGACGCAGCAGACGAUGGGCACGUCGCGGAUGACAGUGCAGACGACGAUGCCGGCAUGGCGGAAAUGUCCGACGAGGAGGCAGAGGACGAGGGCGUCACCGAUGAGGAGCUGAACGAGAUGACGGUCAACGAUGUCACCGAGUUCCUCCUACAGCGCAUUGAGAAUAUGAACGACCGCGACGCCCGUUUGCGGAGUCUCCGCUUGCGCAAGCGGCACCCAACGGUGGCGUUUGCGCCGCUUCUUCAGCGUGUGCUGCUGGAACUGCAGAGGCGCCUCAAUCGCAUGAGCGCCGUGGACGCGCGCCGCGUGCCACUAGCCCCGUCGCAGUACACGCUGCAGGAGAGCGUGGCGCGCACGUACGUUGCAGAGCGACUUGAGAGCGGGCAUCCUCAUCAGGACCCUCUCGUGACCGCUGCUUUUGUUGGUCUCGCCGGUCGCACCCCUGCCGCUACUCACGAAAUGUCGGCUGCGCCUGUGGCAGUGGGAGCCGCACACGCUGCCGCCGUACGUCAUCAGCGGCUGUAUCAGAGCGACCUCGUCCUGCUCCUGUUGGCCCUCACGACGACACCAGCACCUCUGCCCUCGCGUGCCGCGACGAUCCUCGACGUCGACGACCGAUUCGCCUCCGUUGUUGAGGAGAACGCCUGCGCGGCAGAAGAGAAUUUGAAAGAGGCACAGAGCGACGACGUCGACGCCCACACCGCACUCUUCUCGUACCUGCUAGAGGUGAAGUCGAUGCGGUUUGUGCGGCGCCCGCAAGACCGCAUCCGCGCCGGGACCACCAAACUGCUUCUGCUCUGCGCUGUUGACUUCUGCCGUGGUGCGACGCGGCAGCGCGUCUUUGGACACGUACCGCCAUUUGAACUGUUCGGGAGCACCGGAUAUUGCCCCCUGUCUGAUCUAGUCCAGGCGUGGUCGUGCACCUGCAGGAGUGACCGGAAUGGCAACCGCGCCAAGAAAGCGGCCACGGUGCAGGUGUUUGCUUACUAUAUGUGGAAUGAGAUUCGGUGGCGCCUCCGCAAGGGUCAGUACAGCGACGCUGCGGUUGGCAGGAUGCGUGAGCGGCUGCCAGAGCUUUUCGAGCUGAUCGACUCUCACAGCAGCACCUACGACGCCAUCCUCGCCCACCUCGACGCUGAAGCAGCAGCGGACAGCGAAACCGACCGCAGCGGCGGUGACGGGUCGAUGAGUGCGUUGGUAGCGGAAAGCCGCACCCCGUCCACUGAUGCUUCGCUGCGUGCCUCUGGUAAGCAAAAUUAUGAUGUUGCAUCCUCGCCGGCGGCCGCCGCACAGCCCGAAAGGCAUUCCCUGAUUAGCACUGAAGUGCUCAACGCCAUCCGGGCGGAGGAGCGUGGGGAGGUCGACCUAGCCCCCACCUCGGUCUCGCUGCCUCUCACGCUGGCUUACCCCAACGCCUACAGUGCGCAUGUCCUCGAGUCGAAGGCGCGCGUCAACGCGCUCUGGCAGUCCUUCGCGGUUUCCUCGCAUACCUACAUGACCGCUGAGACGCUGCACACGUUGCUUUUUGGUUCGGAUGCUCACCACAGGGGAGACGCGGCGGGGGUCGCCGUUGGUGCGGCUGGCGGCACUCGCCGCUUUCACACUGCGGCUUUGAGGGUCAUGUUCGAAAACGGCAUCACGUCUGUGCAGGCGUGUCCACUGGAUGGCCCAGAGACACCCGCCAUCGAAGAGGCGCUGCAGCGGGCCGACCUGCCAGCAGUGAAAAUUCUGCUAGGCCUCGGCGCCGCAUCGCUGCGGGAUACCUGCCGGAACGGUAGCGCAACGUUGCAGUCGUAUGCGGAGAAGUUAUUUAGCCCGGCCGAGAUGGACGUCCUUCGCUUUGUGGCAUGCAAGAACAAGCGGGUGAUGCGGUCUGACCCGCGGCUGCAUUUCGGCGCCCGUCGCUUCGGCAGCGCCGUGGCGAACCCGUGAGACAGGAAAUGCUGGCCAGAGCGAAGAGGGGCACGCCGCUGGAUGAAGUGUUCUAGCCCCUCCGCUCUGCCACCGCCCCAGCUCCCCUCGGGAUGGGACAGGGGCGUGGAGGAAAGGACACAAAAGGCGGUGUCGGCGUUCGCGCGCUCUUCACCGCUGGGCCUUCCUACUUGGCGACCCAUCCACUCCCCGACAUUCUCUCCGGGUCUCCCGCUUUCUUCCCGGCGCACACAGGUGCGUGCGUGCUGUUGCUACGGCGGCACUUUCUAUUCCAUGCAUGCCUCCCUCUUUGGGCGUGUUUGUGUGUGCAUAACGGUUGCGUCCAUCCUCGCCAGUCGCGUGCGUCCACCCCACCGUGACCACACUCCUCACGGUGUUCUUCCUCCUUAGUUCAUGCACACAGGAAAUCUCAUCUGAUGUACAAUAAAGGGCCCCUCAAGCCCUUGUUUCUCAUGUUUCUGUGCUUUCCUUUCAGUCCUGCCUCGUCCCACGCUCCCACCUGUACCAUUCUCGGCUUCAGCGAGCCGAAGGGGAGAAGAGGCGGGAAAGCUGCAACUGCGAUCACGACAAUGGCAUCUUCUCAUGUAUCCGCAUCGGAUGGAGUGCAGCCAAGGGCAAACUUGGGCACCACCACGCGGUCAAGCACACGACAGCGCACAAGAAGGACAAGAAAAUGAUUUGUCACUUUGACGGUGCUCACUGCAAGAUGGCGACGACGUCUGUGUCGACGUAGUCGUCGACGCUGCAAACCCCAAAGGUGUGCUCGAGCGCACAUCCGCUCUCCCUUCUUCACCUCUGUCCCACCCCUCCCCUUCAG
rnacentral:misc_RNA from 1 species